GACGAACGCUGGCGGCGUGCUUAACACAUGCAAGUCGAACGGAAAGGCCCUGCUUUUGUGGGGUGCUCGAGUGGCGAACGGGUGAGUAACACGUGAGUAACCUGCCCUUGACUUUGGGAUAACUUCAGGAAACUGGGGCUAAUACCGGAUAGGAGCUCCUGCUGCAUGGUGGGGGUUGGAAAGUUUCGGCGGUUGGGGAUGGACUCGCGGCUUAUCAGCUUGUUGGUGGGGUAGUGGCUUACCAAGGCUUUGACGGGUAGCCGGCCUGGGAGGGUGACCGGCCACAUUGGGACUGGGAUACGGCCCAGACUCCUACGGGAGGCAGCAGUGGGGGAUAUUGCACACUGGGCGGAAGCCUGAUGCAGCAACGCCGCGUGCGGGAUGACGGCCUUCGGGUUGUAAACCGCUUUCGCCUGUGACGAAGCGUGAGUGACGGUAAUGUGUAAAGAAGCACCGGCUAACUACGUG
rnacentral:rRNA from 1 species